CGAUGGAUAGGGGUUCUGAGAGGAAGGUCCCCCACAUUGGAACUGAGACACGGUCCAAACUCCUACGGAAGGCAGCAG
rnacentral:rRNA from 1 species